GUUUCCUUUGUUUUCCAGGGAGAGGAAUAAGAUUUAUGCAGAGAUUUGCGAGGCUAAAAUUGGCAGUGAGUACUUUGAAGAAAAAGUGGUGCAAACCAUCUCUGGAGCUGCCAAAGCCAAGGAAGUGCAGUGUGAGACCAUCACCAUGGCAGAGAAGGGGAUGAUGGUGACUUCCUGGGAUUUGGACACUUCACAGGCUGCCUCAGGAGCAGAGCCUGCAGAGACAGAAGAACCCCAAACCCCACAAACAGGGAAAAGCAGCAAAUCUGCCACAGCUGAAGAGCACAGUCAGGCUGUGGCUGUCCCUUCUGCCACAGAGUGUGCUGCUCCUGCCAGGAGCCACGAGGAGCAGGAAUGCCAGUCAGGAGCGAUCUUAACUUCAGCAAAGCUGCAGCAGGAUUUAGUUGUCAUGGAGAGGAUUCUCAUGGAGAACAUUUUUCAACCCAAGCUCGCAGUUUAUCGGCAGAUUCCUGUCCUCAUAGAACCUGCUGUUCCCUCCGACACGGAGGUGGAAGAAGAUGAUGAAGAUGAAGAGGAUGAGGAGGAGGAGGAGGAGGAGCAGGA
rnacentral:lncRNA from 1 species